rnacentral:rRNA from 1 species
GAGUUUGAUCUUGGCUCAGGACGAACGCUGGCGGCGCGCUUAACACAUGCAAGUCGAGCGAGAACCAGGGCUUCGGCUCUGGGGAAAGCGGCGAACGGGUGAGUAACACGUGAGUCAUCCACCCUCGGUACCGGGAUAGCCCGGGGAAACCCGGAUUAAUACCGGAUGGCCCAACAGCUCUUCGGGGCGGUUGGAAAAGGUAGCUUUGGCCUCCGACCGAGGACGAGCUCGCGGCGGAUUAGCUUGUUGGCGGGGUAACGGCCCACCAAGGCGACGAUCCGUAGCUGGUCUGAGAGGACGAUCAGCCACACUGGGACUGAGACACGGCCCAGACUCCUACGGGAGGCAGCAGUGGGGAAUCUUGCGCAAUGGGCGAAAGCCUGACGCAGCGACGCCGCGUGCGGAAGAAGGCCUCGGUGUAACG